GGCCUACCAUNNUNGUAACGGGUAACGGGGUGUUAGGGCACGACACCGGAGUGGGAGCCUGAGAAACGGCUACCACAUCCAAGGAUGGCAGCAGGCGCGCAAAUUACCCAAUCCCGACACGGGGAGGUAGUGACAAUAAAUAACAAUGCGGGGUUCUUUCGGAUCUCGUAAUUGGAAUGAGUACAAUUUAAAUCUCUUAACGAGGAACAAUUGGAGGGCAAGUCUGGUGCCAGCAGCCGCGGUAAUUCCAGCUCCAAUAGCGUAUAUUAAAGUUGUUGCAGUUAAAAAGCUCGUAGUUGAAUUUCGGGAUCAAAUUGUCGGUCGUGCCUCGGUACGUACUGGCGUUAUUGGUUCCUCCCUUCUGAAGAACCGCGAUGUCAUUAAUUUGGUGUCGCGGGAAAUCAGGACUGUUACUUUGAAAAAAUUAGAGUGUUUAAAGCAGGCUCGCGCUUGAAUACAUUAGCAUGGAAUAAUGAAAUAGGACGUUUGAUUCUAUUUUGUUGGUUUCUAGGAUCGACGUAAUGAUUAAUAGGGAUAGUUGGGGGCAUUAGUAUUCAAUUGUCAGAGGUGAAAUUCUUGGAUUUAUUGAAGACUAACUACUGCGAAAGCAUUUGCCAAGGAUGUUUUCAUUAAUCAAGAACGAAAGUUAGGGGAUCGAAGACGAUCAGAUACCGUCGUAGUCUUAACCAUAAACUAUGCCGACUAGGGAUCGGAUGAUGUUAAUUUUUUAAUGACUCAUUCGGCGCCUUACGGGAAACCAAAGUGUUUGGGUUC
rnacentral:rRNA from 1 species